ACGGGAGGCAGCAGUGAGGAAUAUUGGUCAAUGGGCGGAAGCCUGAACCAGCCAUGUCGCGUGCAGGACUACGGCCCUACGGGUCUUAAACCUCUUCUGCGCGGGGGUAAAGUCGGGGACGUGUCCCCGAUUGCAAGUACCGCGCGAAAAAGGAUCGGCUAACUCCGUGCCAGCAGCCGCGGUAAUACGGAGGAUCCGAGUGUUAUCCGGAUUUAUUGGGUUUAAAGGGUGCGUAGGCGGGAUGUCAAGUCAGUGGUGAAAUGGUGCGGCUCAACCGUAGCAUUGCCGUUGAAACUGGCGUUCUUGAGUGCGAAUGAGGUGGGCGGAAUGUGUCAUGUAGCGGUGAAAUGCAUAGAUAUGACACAGAACACCGAUUGCGAAGGCAGCUCACUGGGACGCAACUGACGCUGAGGCACGAAAGUGCGGGGAUCGAACAGGAUUAGAUACCCUGGUA
rnacentral:rRNA from 1 species